rfam:Rangifer tarandus tarandus prion protein (Prnp) gene, complete cds.
CCAUGGGGGUGGCUGGGGCCAACCUCAUGGAGGUGGCUGG